rnacentral:rRNA from 1 species
AUUGAACGCUGGCGGCAGGCUUAACACAUGCAAGUCGAACGAGUGGCGGACGGGUGAGUAAUGCUUGGGAAUCUAGCUUAUGGAGGGGGAUAACUACGGGAAACUGUAGCUAAUAACGCGUAACAUAGGAUGAGCCCAAGGGGGAUUAGGUAGGUGUUGAGGUAAAGGCUCACCAAGCCUACGAUAUCUAGCUGGUCUGCGAGGAUGACCAGCCACACUGGGACUGAGACACGCGCCAGACUCCUACGUGAGGCAGCAGUGGGGAAUAUUGCCCAAUGGGCGCAAGCCUGAUGCAGCCAUGCCGCGUGUAUGAAGAAGGCCCUAGGGUUGUAAAGUACUUUCAGUCGGGAGGCGUUACCGACAGAAUAAGCACCGGCUAACUCCGUGCCAGCAGCCGCGGUAAUUC